rnacentral:rRNA from 1 species
CCUACGGGAGGCAGCAGUGAGGAAUAUUGGUCAAUGGGCGCGAGCCUGAACCAGCCAAGUAGCGUGAAGGAUGACUGCCCUACGGGUUGUAAACUUCUUUUAUAAAGGAAUAAAGUGAGGCACGUGUGCCUUUUUGUAUGUACUUUAUGAAUAAGGAUCGGCUAACUCCGUGCCAGCAGCCGCGGUAAUACGGAGGAUCCGAGCGUUAUCCGGAUUUAUUGGGUUUAAAGGGAGCGUAGAUGGGUUGUUAAGUCAGUUGUGAAAGUUUGCGGCUCAACCGUAAAAUUGCAAUUGAUACUGGCAGUCGUGAGUACAGUUGAGGUAGGCGGAAUUCGUGGUGUAGCGGUGAAAUGCUUAGAUAUCACGAAGAACUCCGAUGGCGAAGGCAGCUUACUGGACAGUAACUGACGUUGAGGCUCGAAAGCGUGGGGAGCAAACAGGAUUAGAUACCCGAGUAGUC